rnacentral:rRNA from 1 species
AUUGAACGCUGGCGGCAGGCCUAACCCAUGCAAGUCGAGCGGAUGAAGGGAGCUUGCUCCUGGAUUCAGCGGCGGACGGGUGAGUAAGGCCUAGGAAUCUGCCUGGUAUUGGGGGAUAACGCCCGGAAACGGGCGCUAAUACCGCAUACGUCCUGAGGGAGAAAGUGGGGGAUCUUCGGACCUCACGCUAUCAGAUGAGCCUAGGUAGGAUUAGCUAGUUGGUGGGGUAAAGGCCUCCCAAGGCGACGACCCGUAACUGGUCUGAGAGGAUGAUCAGUCACACGGGAACUGAGACCCGGUCCAGGCUCCUACGGGAGGCAGCAGUGGGGAAUAUUGGACGAUGGGCGAAAGCCUGAUCCAGCCAUGCCGCGUGUGUGAAGAAGGUCUUCGGAUUGUAAAGCACUUUAAGUUGGGAGGAAGGGCAGUAAGUUAAUACCUUGCUGUUUUGACGUUACCAACAGAAUAAGCACCGGCUAACUUCGUG